UACAAUAUCAGUGGUUCCUGCACACUUGUAUUGUUUGCAUAUGCAUCUUCAAUGGAUUGAUAAUCUUCUUUGCUUCGUAUGUUUUUUUGCACAAAGUUAGGCUUCGGGAGCAAAUUGCCCAAUGGAGUAAGGAGAUCAUUGAAACUAUUGUCUGACCAGCUGAAUUUAGUCUUCAGGAUCAGAAGAUGAAGGACAAAAUGUAACACUGUCCACUCCUUCAAUUCCCACAUCCCACAUACAUACGGUCCUUUGCUGCCUUCUUGAGUGUCUCAAAAUUCUCUAACCCUUUAGCACUCCCUAGCAACACUUCCGGUUCAAUGUGGUGCAACAUGUCCUUCAUAUCAACAUCACAUUCCUCGUUCAGCUGUGGUUCCACACGCACAUCUGUUUGAUCACCAUUUUGAUCUCCACAGUCAUAAUCACCAUCCAUCAUAACAUGAUCAUUUUUGUUUGCAUCAUCACCACCCACUUCAUCACAACCAGUAUCGAUGUUUGUGUUGUUGAAAGUACCUCCUGACUCACCAUGGUGAGACCAAAUUGUGUAUCCAUCCACAAAACCUCACUUUGUCAAAUGCCUCUUGAUUACAUCAGUAACC
rnacentral:lncRNA from 1 species